GAAUCAAGAUGCUGUGUAUAACCUUUUUAAGGGGUUAUGAGUUUACUAGGUUGUUUGUUCACAUGUCUCCAAAGUAAAAGGAUACAUUUUGUAAUUUUAAAAAAGUAAUUACUAUAAAGCAGAGUAUAUUAUUUGUCAACCAUACUGUUAGGUUAUACAUGCUUUAAUUAAAUUUUCUCAUGAAUAAUAAAUGAGUUUUAGCUUUCCGUUAUCAGAAAUUGUUUUUCAAAUGUCACUUCUGUCUUUUCUUGAUUUGUUUACUCGUUAAUGCGAUAAAUCAUAUAAAAAUUAUGUAGAAGCUAAGACUUUGUGCAAAUUUUGUUGAUCUUAUGAUUUUUUCUUCCUUUACCUUGUCUGAUUUCUCUUUUCUCUUUUUUUCUGUCUUUGCAUGUUUGCUUUUAAUGAUAUACCCUUCAGACAUUACAUUUUGGAGCUUCGAUCAACAUUAUGAACUUAUUUUAUUUUAACAUAAUCUAUACUACUUUUCAGUAUGUUCUUUUUUUUGGCCGGGUUCGAGUUGGUGAUGCUACAUCUUACUAAGCCUAUCAGAAUUAGUAGGUCUUAUAAUAACUUUAUCUGCCAAGUUAUCUAAUAUACAUAUUGAUGUGUCCCGUAGUUGUCUGAAUGUCUGUAUUAGUUUUGCACGCAUUAACAGCCUAAGUUAUGACAGUUAAUUUUUUGAUUUCUAUGCCAGAUUUAGUUGAUUGAUAUUACAUUGUACUCCAUGGCUUUGUUCUUCUAAACAUAGUUUGCAUAGAAACCCGUGCUGCAGUGAACUGAGAGAAUUUCUUUAACCGGGUCCUUCUUGAAUGACACUGUGACUUUGAGAUAAAGUAAAGCAAUAAAAGCGUUGUUCCUUUGCUAUUUUAUGUUUUUGCUAUGUAUGUACUAAUUUUGUUAUUUUUCUGUCUUUUAUAUAUAUAUAUAUAUAUAUAUAUAUAUAUAUAUAUAUAUAUAAGUAAUGUAGGUAGAGUUUGGAAAACAAGUUCCAAUUAAUCCAGGAUUUUUAAAUCGUAGGGGCGUAAUUCCAUGAAGCAUUUUUUUUUACCGCCGAGCAAAACGAUUCGAAAUGUAUUUUGGACGACUUUAUGCUAGAUAAAUCAUAUACUAGUGCAUGUAAAUCGUGUUCAACAUGAUAUCAUUUUCUUUUGAGGCGGCCAAAGGGACCUCAUCCUCCUCCUAACCCCACUUUGACCAAAACAUCAUUCAGCAUACCUUGCAAUAUUGAAAUUAUUUUUAUGACACCAAUGUAACCCUCAGACACUUUAAGACAAAAAACAACAUGACGAAAAGAAAAGAAACAACAGAAAAAAUCACGACGAAAC
rnacentral:lncRNA from 1 species